AGCGAACGCUGGCGGCAGGCUUAACACAUGCAAGUCGAGCGGACCUUUCGGGGUCAGCGGCGGACGGGUGAGUAACUCGUGGGAACGUGCCUUCCGGUUCGGAAUAACCCUGGGAAACUAGGGCUAAUACCGGAUACGCCCUUAUGGGGAAAGGUUUACUGCCGGAAGAUCGGCCCGCGUCUGAUUAGCUAGUUGGUGGGGUAACGGCCUACCAAGGCGACGAUCAGUAGCUGGUCUGAGAGGAUGAUCAGCCACACUGGGACUGAGACACGGCCCAGACUCAUACGGGAGGCAGCAGUGGGGAAUAUUGGACAAUGGGCGCAAGACUGAUCCAGCCAUGCCGCGUGAGUGAUGAAGGCCUUAGGGUUGUAAAGCUCUUUUAUCCGGGACGAUAAUGACGGUACCGGAGGAAUAAGCCCCGGCUAACUUCGUG
rnacentral:rRNA from 1 species